rnacentral:lncRNA from 10 species
UAAAAUAGUUUGCUUCUAUUCACAGGAUUUCGAAGGUAGCAACAGAUAGACCUAGAAAAAAGGCAGAAAGAUCAAUAUGCUUGAGUUUUUAAAGUUGCUUUUAAUGUAGUGCUGGUUCCCAUGUAUGAAACAAUCCACGGAUGUAUUAUAUUUGUGAAUGUACAUCUCAAGCUGCAGUUGGAAGAGGAAAGUGCUGGAAUAAUACAAAUGGAGGAGAAAAAGUGUCAGGAUGUUAUUUUAGAAAUAUAGCAAUGUAAACAAGGGAGAGAAGUGGCUGUAUAGUACAGCACAAGAAAAUAUGCAUGCCAGCAUGGUAUAUUAUUGUAUGCCAGCCCAUCUGAGCUAGAGAGAAGACCAAAAGGGUGUUGAUGUAAGAACACUACCUUUAUAGGAAUGUACUGCACCGCAAUGUCAUCGCAGAGUCUGCAAGGAGUUAGUGUUAAUGAAAGUAUCUCAGAUCUACACUCCUUUCAUAUGGGCCUGGGGCCUUAUUCAAAUGGUAUCUCUUUGUAAAGCAAGGAUUUUUAACAUUUGCUUAUUUAAAACUCAAAUCUUUCUUUCCAUAGCUUUAGUUGCAUAAAAAUAAAAAA